CCAACAGGCAUUGAAUUGGCUCCAAAAAAUGUCACAUUCAAUUGUAGGUAGUGUUUUGUGUGGGGCACAUACAUACUCACACACACGCGGCCUCCUCUCCAAGUAGUCCUCGACGACGUAACACCUCAAUUUCAUGGGCUUUUAACGGCAGUGUUGUCCCACACAACUAACAAAAAGCCAAUGGCUUCCAACACGGGGC
ensembl:ncRNA T22E5.12 ncRNA